GAGCAGGAAACAGUCCCAACCUCUGAGCCAUCUCUCCGGCCCCCAUACAGUAAGGCUUUAAUAUUCACUUGUAGGUUCAUGACUCAUCUCAACUGAGCUUUCUGUAUGUGGUGAUGUGGGGUGGGUUAACUCGGAUUAGUUCCUGUACAGAUGGAUGUGUCAGUCUCCUCACUGAGGGACUUCCUGUGUCUUCAGUUGAUUGUCUGGGCGACAUCAUCCAACUCGGAUGACUGCAUACAGAGGUCUCCACGUGGCGUCUGUGUUUGUCCCUCUUCAUACCUGCACGGUGUGCACUGGAUCAUCUCGACUGCCCUCAGGCUUUGCAUUCUGGGCUGCAGGCUCAAGUUCUGUUGAGAUUCUGGGUCUGUGUUUUCCAAUACAGCCAGUCACUAGAGUGAGUUGAACUGAGUUUGGAGUGACAGACGAGGAAGUCUGAACAGCUGGAGUGAGUCUGACUGGGUAACAGAGCACCCUCUCUGCUGCAGACCUCUACAAUGGGUUCAUGCGAUUGGUUCACUGAUGUUUGUGGUUGCUAUCUGCGGGAAUGUUGCUAUACCAUCUUUCCUGUCUCUAGGACAGGGCUUUGCCGGUCUCCAAAGGCAGCCAGGGCAGGUAUCUGGUUUGUUUUCUGAGACAGCCUGGGCAAGGUUAAAUGGUUUCUUCCUUCCACAUGUAGGUGACACUAUUCUGGGGGAAAACGUUUAUACUCCUCAGAGAGUGAACCUAUGUCAGGCUAAGGCAAGGAUGCUAAAUUGGUGAAAUGCUGAGUUAUUGGGGUUACUCAUGGGAUGGUGGGUGAGGGGUCACUUACAGGAGCAGGGACUACCUAAAGGCAGAAGCAUCAUCAAAUCCCAGCACAGCACAGCUGACAGAUCAUGAAAGCUGGAACCCUGGAGCUCUCUGCACAACUCUCAGGCAGCUCAACAGGUCAGAGACUCUUCUCUUCUUGGCAGCCCUUACUGCUUAUAUGACCUUUGGGAGAGAGGGGCCUAGUGUUGUUAUCUGGUCAGCUUCAGGGAAUUCCUGAGACUUGUGAGUUGUUGAUUUCCUGGGUCUUAAGGAACUUUCCUCCAGGAUGGAAUACGGCAAUUCAGGGAAAAUGGCAAUACAAUGCCAACUUAUUCCUUAUUUCUGGUGGGCAGCAAGUGAACCCAUGAAAUGCGUGAUGGAGCUCGUCCUUAGGGAAUGCACCUAGACUUUGAGAAUGACUGCCAUGCCAGCCCUGUCUUUAUGACAGUCCCCCUACCCCUGCAAACUAAAGGUGGUGGAGUCCCAGUGAGCCACUUGCCCCUCUUUUGGGAGAAGUGGCUUUAUCGUUUGGUACUCACUUCUUUUUGCUGCUUGUGGGGGGUCUCUGUGGCUCAAGAAAAGGGUGAGUGGCUGAUGCCGUGUGGCCUCAUUGCUAGGUUAGAAGUGACAGUCUUGAGUGACUUUCUACAUCCCAAGCCUCCUCUGGCAUUUUAAAAACAAGGAAAGGGAAAAUAACUUUCUAUUCUUGAUUCAUACUGCUGUCACUUUUAAAUAUUUGCAAGUUGUCCCUCAUCACUGUGGCUUUUCAAAUAUGUCCUUGCUAUUUAUACCCACUUAUUUUUUUUUGUGUGUGUGUGAGCUUAACUUUUAAUGACGUUUAUUGAUUUGUUCUAUUUAGAAAUGCGGCCCCUGUUCACUGGUAAAAGAAAAAAAAAAAAGCAACCUGUAGAAUUAUUGCAGGAUCUUCCACUGAAAAUGUGCUGGUUUUAAUAUAUGCGUCUCUCUUCUUAGUUUUAAAAUAAAACUACUUACGUACAAAAUAAUCCGUACGUAUUAAGCAUCCGAAUGCAGGAAAAUCCGGAGUAAAGUGUGGUCUUUCUGUGAUGGCUCCAGGGCACCCCAUCAGCUGAGCACGUCCCUGCCUCACCUUGGGGACUCACCUCCCAUGAUGCUCGCUCCCACCCCUCCCAACUGAUUGCAACCUCUGACCCAGGCAGGCACCUUCUUCUGUGGGCCUGGGCCAUGGAAUGUUCCAGGCAAGUAGCAGAAUUUUUCCAGCAUGUCUUUCAAGCUUUUGUUCCAACGUCUGAGUCCAGCUAGAGGAGAGGGCCCUCUUGACCAGAACUGUGUGACCCAGAAAGACACGGGAGGAGGAAAUGGGUGACAUGCUCAGAAGAGGCUCCUAGGAAGUUGCUGGGGAGAGCGUGAGAGCAGAAGCCCCUGGCCAUCACCCGGCAGGCAGGCAGAGCUCCAGGAAUGCGGAUCUCAGACCCGGGCUCCCUGAGUUAACCCGACAGCAGCGCCAUCAUCCCAGUGAAGGUGAGGGCAUGGCUGGAGAGACUUGGAAAUCUCUCCUAGAAACGUCAAAGAGAAGAAAAGCAGUGAAUAAAAUCUGAGUCAAGAGGUGAGGAGCCUGGAGAGGUGGAGUCUGCAGCCUGGACUCAUUUUCCCCAGAGAGCAGCUGUUCUGGAAGGAGAUGAUGAUUAACAGAGAGGAAAAUAAGAAAAGAGGAAGGAGAGCAGAGGCAGCACCGGACACCCCGCAGAUGUCCAGGCAGCGGAGCAGGACCCGACACAGUCUUCAAGCUGGUUUCGGUGCUAAAAGCAGAACUUGAAAAUGUCAGCGUUGGGGAAAGGCUGGGGAGACGGCCCCAUGGUGAGGAGCACUUGCUGCUCUUGCGGCGGUCAUGGGCGCUGAGUCCCAGCACCCACAUGGGUGGGGGAAGCUCGCAACCACCUGGGAAUCCAGUUCCUCUCCUGGCCUCGUUGGGCAUGCACACAUGUGGUGUACAUGAACUUACACGGGCGCACACACACAUGCACAAAAAUUCUUAAGAAAAAGAGAGGAAGAAGAACAUGAAAGGCUGGUGAUGUGGCCUGGAGGGUAAAGUCCUUGCUGUGGCAAACUUGGUGGCCUAUGGUUGAUCACCAGCACCCACAGUGGAAGUGGAGCACAGAGUCCUGAAAAUUAUCCUCUGACCCCCCCCACACACAUGCACCGUGGCACGCACAUGCCUGCACACACUCACACACAUACACAUCAGUAUGUAUAUAAUUGUGCGCAUACGUAUGUAGAGAAAUAGAGUAGACACGGUAACGGGCACAUUGGAAGACGCUAAUUAAAUUUGACUGUGACACCAACAACCAACAAUAAGGAACCAACAGAGAGACUGAUUUAACAGCGUCAGGUCUCAAAGAAACCCAGGAGAAGUCUCACUCAGUACCUGUGGCUCCUCCCAGCACUGCUGACCCCGACCCCUAUUCUCAACCUCUCCAACCUAGGAGCUGUGUUUCACAUCCCUUGGAUUCCUGUAUCACCCAGCCAUUUUGGUCACUUGCUCUCUUGGUUCCUGGUUCUUCUCUUUCCCAUCCCUUUCCCCCACCUCGCCUCUCAUGGUCUGGUUCAUGUCUGGUCUCGACUCUCCCAGACGCCUCUGGCUGUUCUCUCCCUCCUACCCACAAUUAACCUUCUCCUCAACCAUACAGAGGAGCGGCCAUGUCCUCAUUUUUUCAUUCAAACAGCAGAAGGGGGAGCUGGAAAUCCAUAUGCAGAGUGAAAUCUUGAAUGGGAGGACAGGAAAGGAGAGGACUCUGGAAGAGGGUAACAGAAUGUCAGAGGAGAAGAAAGCGGACUGAGUACAGCUAAGACCCGAAGUGAUCACCUUUGGGGGAUUUUCUGCUGAUGGAGACAGGAGUCCACCAUUGGAUUCGAGUAGCUCAACUGUUGAGGGACAUUUUCUGGAGAGAUGAGAAUAAACAGUUAUUCUUCCAAUGGGCACAGAUGAAGGAAACCAUCCCACUGCAGUCCAGGAUGGGGAGCCAGUGUGUGUUUGGGGGUUACUUAGGGACAUUGGUGACUCAGAGGUGGCUACAUCGCCAGAAAGUCCACCUUUCUGGUCUUUUCUCUCCAGAAAGUGUUCAUUGUUUUUAAAACCUCAGGGAGGAGUUGUGUGAACCCCAUUAACUGCUGAGCUGAGCCUGAGCCUUGUGGAUUUGGGGAGCUUUUUGAGUCUUCCAAGUCUCCCUCCAUCUUCCAGGAGAGACAUUCUGUCUCAUCACAUAGGCAGGGAGUCUUCCAUCUUGGAGACAGGGCUUCUGGCUAACAAAGCCCUAGGGGAGAAAGCUGCAGACAAUGUAUGAACACACCCGGGGUCCCUAUUCUCAGGCCCAGAGGCUGAGUGCUCACUGAGCCAUGCACCAAAGAAAACCCAUUGCUUUGUGGAAUUUUCCACAUGCCCCUUAACCAGAAACAUCCUUAGGUUUUCCAAACACCUGUCUAACCUGAACAAAGAACAUACUGCCUCUCAGCUUAAUCUGAUGAUGUCAUGUGACCUUGGACCUACUUUCCCAUGUUACCACCUCCUUCCCAAGGGACCUUGAAAGAAAUGCCCUUUGGGGGGCUGGAGAGUUGGCUCAGUGGUUAAGAGCACUGUCUGCUCUUUCAGAGGACCCAGGUUCAAUUCUCAGUACCUGUAUAGUGGUUCACAACCUUUCUAAGUCCAGUUCCCAGGGGUCCGAUGCCCUCUUCUGGCCUCCAGGGGCAGUGGGCAUGCCUGUGGUGUACAUACAUACGUGCCUAUAAAACAUACACACACACACACACACACACACACACACACACACACAAAGUGAAAUGCCUUUCUGCCUUUCCUGGGCAGGCUGGGGUUUUGCUUCCCUCUGCAGGGUUGCCGACGACAUUAAUAAGUGUUUUGCCUGGAGGCAGAUCCUGCACUGUGGCUUCCUAGAACCGAGUCUCGCUCUAAACCUAACAACUUCAAUUAAGAAGAAGAAACUCCACAGCAUUAAUAAGUCCAAACACACUCCGCAGAGGUUCUCACCGAGAAGCAGAUGCACUGACCACAGCGGUGAGGAAUCUCCCUUGUACACAGCGCCCAGAGGGGAGGGAGCACGGAGCGGGUGAGGAGCCACCGACAGCUGUCUUUCCAAACAACAACAGAGACGAAACCAAAGGACUGAAAGCCAAGCACAGCCAAGAACUGUAACCACGGAUCUAACGUUACAGAACUGAAGAAUAACUAAGAUCUUGUGCAGGCAACCACAGCUGAUGUGAGUUCAUGGGUACAGUGGUCCCGUCAUGCCCAGAAGGCACUGUUUGCCUGGUCCUCUGACUUUCACGAUCUUUCCAC